AACGAACGCUGGCGGCAGGCCUAACACAUGCAAGUCGAGCGAGGACUUCGGUCCUAGCGGCGGACGGGUGAGUAACGCGUGGGAACGUGGCAUUUGCUUCGGAAUAGCCCUGGGAAACUGGGAGUAAUACCGGAUGAGCCCUUUGGGGGAAAGAUUUAUCGGCGAAGGAUCGGCCCGCGUUGGAUUAGGUAGUUGGUGGGGUAAUGGCCUACCAAGCCGACGAUCCAUAGCUGGUUUGAGAGGAUGAUCAGCCACACUGGGACUGAGACACGGCCCAGACUCCUACGGGAGGCAGCAGUGGGGAAUCUUAGACAAUGGGGGAAACCCUGAUCUAGCCAUGCCGCGUGAGCGAUGAAGGCCUUAGGGUUGUAAAGCUCUUUCAGCUGGGAAGAUAAUGACGGUACCAGCAGAAGAAGCCCCGGCUAACUCCGUG
rnacentral:rRNA from 1 species